rnacentral:rRNA from 1 species
UACGUAGGGUGCUAGCGUUGUCCGGAAUUAUUGGGCGUAAAGAGCUCGUAGGCGGUCUGUCGCGUCGGCUGUGAAAACCCGGAGCUCAACUCCGGGCCUGCAGUCGAUACGGGCAGACUGGAGUUCGGCAGGGGAGACUGGAAUUCCUGGUGUAGCGGUGAAAUGCGCAGAUAUCAGGAGGAACACCGGUGGCGAAGGCGGGUCUCUGGGCCGAUACUGACGCUGAGGAGCGAAAGCGUGGGGAGCGAACAGG